rnacentral:rRNA from 1 species
UACGGAGGGUGCAAGCGUUGUCCGGAUUUAUUGGGUUUAAAGGGUGCGUAGGCGGCCCGUUAAGUCAGUGGUGAAAGCCUCCAGCUCAACUGGAGAACUGCCAUUGAUACUGACGGGCUUGAGUACAGACGAGGUUGGCGGAAUUGAUUGUGUAGCGGUGAAAUGCGUAGAUACAAUCAAGAACUCCGAUUGCGUAGGCAGCUAACUAGGCUGUAACUGACGCUGAGGCACGAAAGCGUGGGGAGCGAACAGG